rnacentral:lncRNA from 1 species
CACUGCCGAAUACGAAUGAGGAACCGGUCCCAUCUUCCCGAUAAUCUCCUUGAAAGUAUACUCCUCAGGGAGCAUAUCGAACAAGUCCGAACCUUUACAUAUCACCUUCUGGAUUCUCUUGGGGUCCAAGUAACGCUUGAACCUUACCCUGUCAAAGUGACUGUAAGCCUUCAUCUUGAACACAAACUCGCUCACACGACGAAAGCAGAAGCUACAAUGCCACCCGGCAUCCGCCAGAAUGUCAUCCGCCUGUCGAUAGUGAGCAUACCUUGUCUUCCCCAUCUUGUACCUAUGCACAGAAGCCCUCC